rnacentral:lncRNA from 1 species
GAUAUUGGAAUCAACCUGACAGAUCCUAUGUUCAGAGGAAUUUAUAGGGGCGUGCAGAAGCAUCAAGGUGAAUGUCUCUUUUACUAAGAUGACUUACAAGAUGUAAUAGGGAGAGCUGUCCAGAUUGGUGUUAAAAAGUUUAUGAUCACAGGUGGAAGUCUACAAGACAGUAAAGAUGCACUGCGGUUGGCACAAACAAAUGGUACCCUCUUAUUCCUUUUACCAAAACAAAUGUGAAUUGCUUAAUUAGGAAGAAGUCUUUCUCAGAACUGCUUCAGGUACAAAUACAGUGACUCCUGACAUAGACAUACAGGAAAAUAGAUUGAUUUCAGUGGAACAUGCUUUUAAGAUGACAAAGAUUAGAGUACUCUUUGGUAUAUCAGAUGUUCAAUAAAGUCUUAUAGUACUUAACAUGAUUACUUCAGUAAAUAAUAGCAAAGUUACCUACAUACAUAAUUUAUCUUCAAGUUGUUCUGAUGUAGAGUUUUUAUGUGCAUAUUUUAAUGUUUGAUAUGAAUUGUUUUUAUUUAAAAUCUUUUAACUUAAAUUGAGAAGAAUCAU